GCAUUCCGGUUGGAAAGUACAUUGCUUGGGAAGGAAAAGAGUAUUUUUAAUACCUGGAUCUUUGACGUUACCCAAAAAAGAAGCACCGGCUAACACCGUGCCAGCACCCGCGGUAAUACGAAGGGUGCAAGCGUUAUUCGAAAGUACUGGGCGUAAAGCGCACGCAGGCGGUGAGCAAAUUCAGAUGGAAAAUCCCGGGCUUAACCUUGGAAUUUCCUUCAAAUAUGGCGACUGAGUCUGAUAGAAGGGAGGGAAAUCUCAGGGGAGAGGUGAAAUCGUAGAUAUCAGAAGAACACCAGUGGCGGAGGCGACAACCUGGUCCAUUACUGACGCUGAGGCGCGAAAGCGUGGGGAGCAAACAGGAUUAGAUA
rnacentral:rRNA from 1 species